ACUGCAUUGUGGGGCGGAACUUCGGU
rnacentral:piRNA from 1 species